rnacentral:lncRNA from 12 species
GGCAUGGGGGUGGCAUGGGGGUGGCAUGGGGGCGGCAUGGGUGUCCUAGAGCUGCCAAAACAAGUGACCUCAAACUGCGUGGGUCUGAACAACCGAAAUGUGCUCUCCCCGCGCUGGGGCCGCUGACCCGAGAGGCCUGCCCUGCCGUGGGGGCUCUGAGGGCCCCUUGGCUCCCCCCAGCUCCGCCCGGUGGCCACGGUUCUGGGUGUCCCUGGGUCCUGGGUGUCCCACCAUCUCCGCGGCCCCUUCUCACACGGUCUCUCUGGUCACCAGGACCCGGGUCGCGGGACACGGGGACUGUCCGGUCUCAAUCAUCUGCAAGGAUCCUCCUUCCAAGCAGGGCCCGCCUGGAUGUGGGGUUGGCAGGACACCUCCAGCCUCCCACGGGCGCGUGCCUUGCUCUCAGCCGCUGGACUCCGAGCCGCGCGGCGGCCCGGGGAGGGCGGGCACGGGGCAGCCAUGGUGGGACUGGGUCUGGGGAAGGGUCCCGGGGGCCCGGAGCAGCCGGCGCCUCCUCCCAUGGGCCUCCCGGCCUUGGCCGCGCCCCGGGUCGGCCUCCUGCGGCGUCGCACAGCCACGAGGUGGGCAGGGGAGGACGGCCGCGCGUGGGGCCUGGCUCUGCGGGCCUGUGGGUGCCAAGGGCCCCCACCCCCGUCCCGGUGAGAAAGGGCACGCCCUGGAGCCCAGCCUUUGGGGGACCCCACUGUAUUUGGGGUGCAGGUGGGUGGAGGGGUCUGCGGGGAAGCAGACUGUGGUUCCAACGCAGGCCACACUCGGGAGGGCCUCACCCUGCCCAGCACCUGGAGGACCCCGCCGUCUGCCCUGGGGAUACCGAGGCAGGUGAGAGCAUCACUGCCUGUCCCCGGGUGGGGGGGACCCAGGAGCCCCGGGGCAGAGCCAAGAAGGCGGUCACGGCCCCAGCCCACGGGUCAUCAGGACGCCCACCCCUGCGCCCCUCCCGGUGUCGCUCCCCCGGGAAGGGGCCCCCGCGCAGCCGCAGGAAAACCCCGCUUGUAACCCGCGUUUCGGAACCGCUCGGCCUUCCGGGCAAAGCUCACUUUUUUUCUGAACGGCACAAGUUUCUAGGCGCAGUUAAUGGUUUCUCCCUGUUUCCCGCGCACCAACUGACUGCUCGCCAUCAAAUCCUAAAUUAGUUCUGAUUAUUUGGAUGAGGGAUAACAGAAUUUCUAUUGUUCCUAAUACCAAACCGAUCAUUUGAAAUUCAAAAGGACAUACAUUUCCUUACGAGCUGUUCAUCCCGGCCCUUUCACAACCGUCCUUGGAGUGGGUCCUCGGGAAAGUUUUGCCAAAUUGAUCUAAAUUGAAUUCCCUUUAAUUGCACUCUGCUAAUAGUGUUUUAGGACACACACAAGACGCGCGCAAUUAAGCGGCUCUGAAACAUCCCUCCACCUCGCAGAUGUUCUCAGACGCUCCCGGAAAGCCCCCCAGUGGAAGGCAGCCCGCGGGGCGGACGCGGGGCGGACGCGGGGCGGACACGGGGCGGGCUGUGGGCGGACCCUCGCUCCCGGGCGGCUCUCCGUCCGCGUGUGACACUCCUCACAGCACCGACGGCAGCGCGUGGUCCCCGACGGCGGUCCACCCGCCCUGGGCCAUCAGCUCACGCUCUCCAGGGUCCCACCCGAGGCUGCUCCUCGCAGGUCCCUCGAGGUCAGUGGCUGCGCUUGAGGCUUAAGCAUCCGUCCCUCCCUCCGAGGGGCCGACUCCCGCGACGUGUGGCCGCCUUCCCUGCUGGCCGGUGGCCUGCAAGCCUCAGCCCCGGAGGUCGGCUAAGCUGCCAGGCUGGGCGGUGCUGGGGCUCAGGGAGGCCCCGGCCAGCUCCGCCCGCCCCCCGCCCCCCUGCCUGGCCCGGCCUUGCCUUUGUAUUAGAUUUUCACAGAAACAUCUUUUUUGAGAUUCAGCGCAGCUGUUUCCCCUUCUCGCUCAGACCUCCCUGCGCAGCUCUGUGGAGCUCAGGGCGCUGCAGCCUGCAGGCUGCCCGACGGGCCCCCACGUGCGCAGGCUCCCCAGACCUUGCCGCAUAGCGCUGCAGCCUGCGACCCUUCAGCGGAGCGCCAGCGCGGAGCAGGCUGGGGGGGCAGGGCCCUCAGUGGUGGGGUUGCUCAAGCAGGGAGUGGGGAGGCGAGACAGGCAGGG